CCGACACAAGAAAGGAAAUCAAAAUCCACCAACUUCAGCCGCUGCAAGAAGACCCACGCCAGAAAACCAACGGGUUCCAGUUUCUGUGAACACUAUUCUGCCCUGUCCUCAUAGAAAAAGAAGGGCAGUCACGACCUCUGCCUCUCAGCCACACAGCGACGUGGGAUAAGAAAGAGGACUUACUGAAGCCCUCUCUUUUGACAAAAACAAUCAUUUUAGAGCAUAUUUCUCCUAGAAUUUUCUCUGAAUCAAGACUCAAGGUUUGGGAGGCUGGGCAAGCAGGUCCGUGCCAAGCCCAGGAGGUUCAGUGAGGCCAAGGGCAGGUGCUGCACCUGUAUUGCAGGUGCAACACACCCUGUCAUGGUGUUCCUUUUAUAUUACAAAAUCCUCAACACACUUCAUCCAUGUGCGGAACAGAAAAAACCAGCAACAACACAGUCCUCUCCUCAACAAAACACAUCAUGGCCACCCAGAGAACACCAGCAACAGGGACCUCCCUUAAUGCUCCUUUUGGACUAAGCACCAGCUGUGACAUCCUGUCAAAUCAGGUCUGUGGUGUCACCAGAGCCAUCUCUGUCCCACAGGGCAGGCAGCACCUGGUGACCCUGAGAUAUGACACUGUUAUAGAUAUAUGAUAUUGGC